rnacentral:rRNA from 1 species
GGAUUGACGUGACGGUCGUGCCUUAAGGGGUAUGAACUGUUACAGUCAAUUUCUCACCUUCUGGAGAAAUAUGAUGUCCUUAAUUGGGUGUCAUAUGGAACCAGGACUUUUACCUUGAAAAAAUUAGAGUGUUUAAAGCAAGCUUAUUGCUCGAAUACAUUAGCAUGGAAUAAUAAAAUAGGACGGCAUGAUUCUAUUUUGUUGGUUUCUAGGAUCACCGUAAUGAUUAAUAGGGAUAGUUGGGGGCAUUAGUAUUCAAUUGUCAGAGGUGAAAUUCUUGGAUUUAUUGAAGACUAACUACUGCGAAAGCAUUUGCCAAGGAUGUUUUCAUUAAUCAAGAACGAAAGUUAGGGGAUCGAAGACGAUCAGAUACCGUCGUAGUCUUAACCAUAAACUAUGCCGACUAGGGAUCGGAUGAUGUUAAUUUUUUAAUGACUCAUUCGGCGCCUUACGGGAAACCAAAGUGUUUGGGUUCCGGGGGGAGUAUGGUCGCAAGGCUGAAACUUAAAGGAAUUGACGGAAGGGCACCACCAGGGGUGGAGCCUGCGGCUUAAUUUGACUCAACACGGGGAAACUCACCAGGUCCAGACAUAGUAAGGAUUGACAGAUUGAGAGC